AAUCCUGAGGGGGAGGAGAGAGAGAACGCGAGAGGGGGUGUGUGUGUGAGUGUGUGUGAGUGUGUGGGGCACUCGGGGACCUGCGCUGUGGCCGGGGCUCUCGCCUCCCCCGGGACCGCGGGACGCUGGGGAGAGGGCUCCCCGAACGAGCUCCUCCCGGUCGCCCACCUCCCCGGCAGCCGGACUCUGUCACCAGGCGGAACCGAAGCGGGAGGGCAGGCCCCCCUCGGCCUCCGUGGCACCAGCUAGUGGCUGGAACGUGGGGGCGGAGGUGGCGAGCAGGGGGUGCAGCUGUAAGGCAGCCAAGGUUCCUUUUCAUAUCCCUAAGCAGUAAAUCCUUUCAUCCGGCAGCGAGGCCCGUUUACUUCAGAAUAAAUACAGCUGAUCAGAAGAGGCAAAAGGAACAGCCAGGAGGUUUAAAGGGGUCCUGGCAAGUGGCACUGAGAUUUAACAAGCUACCGAGGGCCAGAACGGCUACAGGCGCCUCCAUCCUGGGACACAGAUGGCACAGGGGGCACAGGGUACCUCUUGGGGUCCGCCCUUGAGAGGGUCAAGAACGCGCCCCAUCUUGCGACGCUGCGGUGGCCGGUGUUCCUCCACACGGUCCACUCUUACCAGCUGACCACCUCCUGGUUUCUGCCCUGACCCCUCCCCCUGCGCACCCACCGCACAGGAAGAAAACCACGUGACCACGAAAGGCCUCACGCUCUGCUCAGGGCCUCAGUGCAGAGGGGACAGGAAGAGAAGGAAAUUAGCUCUUGCUGGGCUGCAUCCACGUGCCAGGCAGGGGGCCAGACUCACCUACUGACGGGAAGCUGGGCCCCCAAUCUCUUUCUUUUCUUUUUCUGUUUUUUUUUGGGCCACGCGGUGAGGCAUGUGGGAUCUUAGUUCCCUGACCAGGGAUCCAACCUGCGCCCCCUGCCCUGGAAACGCGGAGUCCCAACCACCGGACCGCCAGGGAAGUCCCCACCUCCCAUCUGCUUCUAACUGCGCCCUAUCUUUCCUUUAAAAAAAACCCCACAAAACUGUUUUAUUUUGCUCCCUCGUGUAUUUUUCUCUCUCCACCUCCCCGGGUCAGAGAGCCCCCAGACUGGCAACUGGAUCAGCUCCAGAGAGAGCAGGCAUUGCUCCCCUCUGGGGAAGGGGCUUCAGAGAGAGUGUAAUGUGAGCGGUGCCUGGAACUGUGCAAGGCAGCUGGCCUGGGCUCAGGUCUCCCUGAAGAGAGGAAUGGUUCCCACGUCUAGUCUUCAGCUGUAAUAAUAACAAUAGAAACAGGCAGUACUCACUGAGUACUUACUUCACGGCAGGCGCUGUGUGAAGAGAUUAAGUCUCAGAGACGUCAGCUUGCUGAGAUCACACAGCUGGUGAAUUUGCUCUACGCGUCAGGGCCUUAACUGUUUCUCACGUAUCUCUUGGGGAAGAAAAAAGCUGCCUCAACGACCAGAAUUAAACAUUAACAUUCCAGCUGGAAAAAAAUUCAAGGCCAGAGAGUGGGCGGAAGCAGUGCCGCCGCCGGCCACCGGAGGGCACCCUGGUCCCUCCGACAGAGGCUCCCGGGGGGCCCGGCGGUUCCCCCGGUUCUCAUCCCCUGAGAGCUCAAGCAGGCGCAAGGGAGGAGGGAGGGCCCGGAGCCCAGAUCCUGAUAUCUGGGUGCGGAGAGGCGGGUGCGGAGAGGCAGAGAGCGAGAGGGCGGGCAGAGGGGACGGGGGCGGCAGAGACACCCCAACGACGGAGGCGGAGUGGGCACCCCCAGAGCCCCGGGAGAGGAGCCACCGGCACCUCGGCCACUCCUCCCCAGGCUCUCAGGGAAGCAGAGGCCCCCGGGGAGCGAAGGCAGCGACCGCCCCGGCCCGCCCUGCUCCCAGGACAGCGAGGAACCCGAGGGGCCCGGGGUUAAUCAGCAGGCAAGUGUGCCGGGCUGAGAGCAUCCCGGGCGGGAGCCCACGGAGGGGACCACACUUGGCUCCUCUUCCUGAGCGUCGACCUGGCGUCCGGCGCUCCUGCUGAGAGCGGUCACCUCCACUUACGAUUUCUCUCUUUACCUGUUCCUUCAUUUAUUUCAUACAGGGGGUCCCCGACUUACGACAGUUCAACUUAAAUUUUUAGACUUUGCGAUGGUGUGAAAGCGAGACGAACUCGGUGGAAACCAUACUUUGAAUUUUGCAUGCUGACCGUGCCCUGGCCUAGCGGUGCGCGGUGCACACUCUCUCGUGACGCUGCGCAGUGGCAGCUCCCGGUCAGCUACAGGGUCACCCGGGCGGACGCAGACAGCCAUUCUGUUUCUCACUUUCGGUGCAGUGUUCAGUCAAUUACAUGAGAGCGUCAACACUUUAUUAUAAAAUAGGCUUUGUGUUAGAUGAUUUUGCCCAACUGUAGGCUGACGUAAGUGUUCUGAGCACAUUUAAGGUAGGCUGGGCUAAGCUGUGAUCUCUGGUAGGUUAGGUGUAAAAAUGCAUUUGUGACUUUUGAUAUUUUCAACUUAAAACAAUAGGUUUAUCGGGACAUCACCCCACUGCAAGUCGAGGAAGAUCUGUAUUGCAAUAUAAUUCAAAUACUGUGACAUUCAGUCUUUAAAAGUGUACAGUGUUUUUUUUUUUUAGUAUAUUCAAAGUUGUGCGAUCAUCACUACGGUCUCGUUCCAGAAGUUGUAGUACUUGCCCAUCAGCGUGCUCCUGAGAGAGGCCCUGCCACACCAGGGCUUCCAAGCCAACUGCAAGAAGCAUCUUCCCCUCUUCGCCGGAGCUAGGACUGCCAGCUGCAAACAGGGCCACCCUUCCAGCCCCACAACCAGCCACAGCUUUCUGUCAGCGGCCCUUCUUGACGACGAACAGUCGUCCCCCGAGACGGGCGGCUGGGGGAGAGCGAGGGCACGGCCAUCAGACGGCAGGAGGCCCAGCGGCCCGUCCCUGUGCGAGCAGGGCCGCCCUGCCUGCGCUCUGGUUUUGACCCCUGCUCCUUGGUGGGCUGAGACUUAGAUUGCAGGGGGGGCCCGCAGGCUAGCUGGGGGCGUCAGACGGCAGCAGGGGCUUUCCUUCUGAGGGGCCGGGGGCUGGACCCCAGCAGCACGUUUGCACAGGACUGAGGGGUCUUCCUGACUGAGAGCAGUAAGACUGGCUGCCAGAGGAGCCGACGGCGUCUCAGCUCUCAUUAACCGCAACCCUCCCUUGCUCAGCCAGAAACCUGGAGUCCUCCUGACAUCCUGGAAGCGCCCCCCCUCGCCCGCCCCACGUCCGUCAAUCACCGAGUCCUCUCAGGCCUGUUCCGGACAUUUCUCUUGAAUCUGUCUACUUCUUUCCACUUCCAUGGUCCCAUCCAAUGCCCCCCUCCACCUCUGCUUCCAGGACAACUGGACGACCUCCUACCCAGUUUUCUGCAACACUCUUGCCUCCUUCUAAUUGAGUAUCCAUACUGUGGCCAGAAAGAUCUCUGCGAUGUGGAUUUGACCAUUUUACAGCUCUGUGUGAAACCCUUCGCGGGCUUCCCAUUGCCCUUGGAGCACAGUCUCCCAUCCUUAUCCAGACGUAUGAGCUGGCAGGACCUGCCCUCUGCCUCCGCUCACCUUUCUGGACUUACCGGAGGCCCAGGGCAGCGCCCCUCGUGAUGUUCCAGCCACACAGAUCCUUCGGUUCUUCCCCUCCUCUGCCCUCCAUGCCCCCCUCCUCACCGCCCUCCUCACUCUUCAGGAUGAAGCCACCGAGCUCGCCUUUGGGAAGGCGAGGGUGGGCCUCCCUGCUCUGGCUUCCACACGUCUGUGACCCCCCCGCACUGUUUGUGUCUUUGCCCCAGGACUAUACGAUCCACCAAGUGACACCUGUGUCUCUCUGCCUGUUGCCUGACUCAGGCACCAGCAUGGUGCGGGACACACCGUAGGCACCUGAUAAAUACUUGCUGAAUGAAGGAAAGCAUGGACAAAUGGCGAAGAAGGGCUGCAGGGCCCUUUCCUUUCCCCUGGCAGGGUGACACCUGGGUGCUACACUCAGCUCUGCACAGUCCAUUUAAGAGGAAUAAACUAGUGGAGUCACGCACGGAACAGGGGGUCAGAGGGGUGGCGUCUGCAAACCAGGAUAUCAGACAAAUGACUGCCUUCAGAUCCUUUAGCCUGGAAGAGGAGACGAAGGAGGACGUGAGGCGGAGGCCCGACUCUGCAGGGCUGCCUCUGAGGGAGAUGCCAUAGGGAUCUAGAGUUUGGCUCUAGAAGACUUGAAGAUGCCCAGAAGGAGUGAGCUGCUUGUUGCUGGAGAUAUUCAAGCAGAAUACUUCCCAAAAGUAUGAAAGAGCGUCCUCUAGCUGUGACAGACUGUCAUCCCGAGGCCGGGCCGAACCAACAGCUUCUCCUGUUCAUGCUGGUUCUGGUGGGGCGGGGUGGGGGAAGUGCUCUGUCCAGAGGUCUGUGGCUGCAGAAGAGUCUGGAAGACUGACAAGAAGGUGCUUUUAGAAACACCAUGUGCUGCACUGUCCAUCUCCAAACCAAUGCUCUGACCCAUAAAGGUUCUUGGCACCUGGCUUAGGAAUCUUGGCAGAACUGUGUGAAAAGGCAGGCAGGCGGCUGCAGGUCUGUCCUUGCCUUUGGGGACAGGGACAACCCCAGGCUGUAGGCCCUACGACCCACGACGGCUGCUUCACCCUGAACUCAAACGUGUCACCACCCCCCAAGAGGGCUCGAGAGGAGCUUCUGGAGGACGAGGGCGUCCCCAUGCCCUCCCGCUGAUGGCAGUCGGCUCAGCACCCUUCCUGCCAGAGGCCUUCUGCGGAUGGGCCAGCUGCUUCUGACACCUGGAGGAGAUGGGCCGCCCGGGCUUUGAAGUGGAGCCAGCAGGGAGCUCUGCCAACGAGAGGCUGUACAAAUCCACCGGAUCAUGGAGGGACCCUUGCAGGCCAGGCCUCGGGGCUGGAGAGAGGGGCUCUGGCGGGGAUGUGAAGGCGCUCGAGUUCAGGCUGGCUCUGAGCUGAACCAUGUGAAGGGCGGAGGCCAGGGCAGCCACUGGAAUGGAGAAAGAGCACUCGGCAGGGCCUCAGCUAAUCCCCAGGGGGCUGGCCGUUCUCUCCCUCCCAUGCUGACUUCCAACAGCUGGGAUGGGCUGCCUGGCUGGGAGUUAAGUGGGUGCCAAGGAAGCAACAGCUUUCAGCCUGAACCUACUGACUUGCCAACUUCCUAUUCACCCUUAAGGGUCAGUAUGCCUGGUCUAGUGGCACGAGCUGUACCCUUUUUUUUUUUUUUGCAGUUGUGGGUUAGCAGCCCUGGGAUCAAACCCCAGCUCUAGAACUCACUUGGCCAAGUUACCUUUUCUUGGGCGAGUUAUGUUUUCUAUUGGAGUUUCAGCUUCCUCAUCUGUAUAAAGGAGAUAAUUAUAGUCCCUAUUUCACAGGAUUCUUGUGAAGAUUCAAUA